AUGUCCCUGUGCUUACUGUAAGUCGCUCUGGAUAAGAGCGUCUGCUAAAUGACUAAAUGUAAAUGUAAAUAUGUGUAUGACAGUACAAAAUUAGUACGCACCUACUUCCUAUUAUAACCAUUGCCUUCCUUGUUCAGUAGAUUGGACUGCAGCUUGGUCCACUACCAGAGGAUGACGCAUGCAUGUGUGUGUGAGUUCUCCCAGGUUCUCCUAAUGUUGUGAAGUCAAGAAGGAGCCUGACAACCCUGCGCUCCAAGAGCCCACACAAAGGGAUGAGGAAGGAGGCCACGAUUGGCAGGAACAGCAGGAGUGGGAGUGGCUCCAGGUCCAGAACACGCUCUCACUCGUUUUCCCGCUCUCCCCGCAGACAUUACAACAGCAGACGCAGUCGCCCACAGCUCCCGCUCUCGUUCCAACAGCCGCAGACCGUGACCGCGGCAACACCCCCCCAACCCUUUUUUAGUUUCAAUGUACAGUUAUGGACUAUGGAAAUGACAUUUACAGUGUAAAGAUGGUUUAAACUGCUGACGUAUUGUGAACUCUUUGAUUUAUAAAAGCCCUACUCAGUGGAAGAAGGAAUGAGUAUGUAUGUACAACAAUAAAAGGAUCAUUCAGGAACUACAUUUGUGCACAAA